rnacentral:rRNA from 1 species
AACGAACGCUGGCGGCGUGGAUAAGACAUGCAAGUCGAACGGGACAGACCGAGUAGCAAUAUUUGGAAUGUUCAGUGGCGAACGGGUGCGUAACACGUGGAUAACAUUCCGGAAAGCGGGGAAUAGCCCAGGGAGACUUGGAUUAAUACCGCAUGUGGCCGCAAGGCUAAAGACGGGGACCGCAAGGCCUGUCACUUUCCGAUUGGUCCGCGGCCUAUCAGCUAGUUGGCGGGGUAAUGGCCCACCAAGGCUACGGCGGGUAGCUGGUCUUAGAGGACGACCAUCCACACUGGAACUAAGACACGGUCCAGACACCUACGGGAGGCAGCAGUCGAGAAUCUUUCACAAUGGGGGCAACCCUGAUGGAGCGACGCCGCGUGGAGGAUAAGGUCUUCGGAUUGUAAACUCCUGUCAUGCGAGAACAAGGUACUCAGGCUAAUAACCUGAUUGUUUGAUGGUACCGCAAGAGGAAGAGACGGCUAACUCUGUGCCAGCCGCCGCGGUAAGAC